rnacentral:misc_RNA from 1 species
AAUUUUUUUUUUUUUUUAACAGUAAACAAGGCAGAAAAUUUUGGACGAAAAGUAGAGGGAGAUUUUGAGGUCACAGUGGAAGAUAUGAAAGUUUGCAGGAGCUUACAGAAAUUUGGAUUGAAUUUAGGCUCUAAUACCAAAUUUGACGUAAAACAAAGAGGAACAAGUAACAAAUGCUUAGAAAAAGAGAAAUAAUGCUCAAUAAUUUUAUUAAUUUUAAUAAUAAUCAUAGUCAAAGCUACUGAAUAAUAUAAAAUUAGCUUUAUUUAUAGAACUUACAACUCUAAUCAAUUUAGGAAGAGAGACCCUAAUCAAUUCUAAUUAGGAACAUUAAAUAAAAUAAAUUAGAAAAUAAUAGACCUA